rnacentral:rRNA from 1 species
CCUGGUGGCCAUUGCGGGGACCCAAACACCCGAUCCCAUCCCGAACUCGGAAGUGAAACGCCCCAGCGCCAAUGGUACUGCGUCUCAAGACGUGGGAGAGUCGGUCGCCGCCAGGCCCGCAAAGCGCAAAAAACAAUCCUCUACAAAUACAACAAACACCGCGGGGUGGAGCAGCC